UCAGAAUGGUUGGCAUAGUGAUAGAAGUUUCUAGUCAGAAAGUAUGCCUGAGUACCUUGGAUCCUUUCUGGGAGGUUUGUCUAAGGCCCAGGAAGAAGCGGUGGAGUCCUGCUGCCUCCGUGUUGCAGUCACACAAUCUCGGGCCAGUGACUUAAACCCUCGGAGCUGUGGGUUUUGUCGCUGGAAGAUGCGAUCCCACUCCUUGCCGGGCCUCCCUCACCAGUUCAUUACAAGGAGUUGCUGAGGACGCAACUGGCUUCCCCUAAGGGACCAUACGGGAAAUGGUCUGGAACAACACUGAAAAUCUGCAGAAGGUUUCGGAGCUUGAACUACAAUCCACAAUGAAGGUGUGUGGUUAUCUGUAUGUGUGUGCAAUAAAAUCCUAAAAGCAA